UACGAAGGGGGCUAGCGUUGCUCGGAAUUACUGGGCGUAAAGCGCACGUAGGCGGCUUGUUAAGUCAGGGGUGAAAUCCUGGAGCUCAACUCCAGAACUGCCUUUGAUACUGGCGAGCUUGAGUUCGGGAGAGGUGAGUGGAACUGCGAGUGUAGAGGUGAAAUGCGUAGAUAUCGCUUGGAACGCCAAAGGUGAAAACAGGUUGCUGGGGUUGUGCCGACGCUGAGACACGAAAGCCAGGGGAGCAAACGGG
rnacentral:rRNA from 1 species